rnacentral:rRNA from 1 species
UACGGAGGGUGCGAGCGUUAUCCGGAUUCACUGGGUUUAAAGGGUGCGUAGGCGGGAAUGUAAGUCAGUGGUGAAAUCUCCGUGCUUAACACGGAAACUGCCAUUGAUACUAUGUUUCUUGAAUUUUCUGGAGGUUAGCGGAAUAUGUCAUGUAGCGGUGAAAUGCUUAGAUAUGACAUAGAACACCGAUUGCGAAGGCAGCUAACUACAGGGAUAUUGACACUGAGGCACGAAAGCGUGGGGAUCAAACAGG